rfam:Schistosoma rodhaini strain Burundi genome assembly, scaffold: SROB_scaffold0001458
AUCCAGCUGACGAGUCCGAAAUAGGAAUUGACGCGCGUCCUGGAU